GUGGGGAAUCUUGGACAAUGGGGGCAACCCUGAUCCAGCGACGCCGCGUGGGUGAUGAAGGCCUUCGGGUUGUAAAGCCCUUUUGUCGGGGACGAUGAUGACGGUACCCGACGAAUAAGCACCGGCUAACUCCGUGCCAGCAGCCGCGGUAAGACGGAGGGUGCUAGCGUUGUUCGGAAUUACUGGGCGUAAAGGGCGCGUAGGUGGCUUGUUAAGUCGGGUGUGAAAGCCCGGGGCUCAACCCCGGAACGGCACCCGAGACUGGCAGGCUGGAGACCGGGAGAGGAGAGUGGAAUACCCAGUGUAGAGGUGAAAUUCGUAGAUAUUGGGUGGAACACCAGUGGCGAAAGCGGCUCUCUGGCCCGGUUCUGACACUGAGGCGCGAAAGCGUGGGGAGCAAACAGGAUUAGAUACCCUUGUAGUCC
rnacentral:rRNA from 1 species